rnacentral:rRNA from 1 species
AGCAGCCGCGGUAAUUCCAGCUCCAAUAGCGUAUAUUAAAGUUGUUGCAGUUAAAAAGCUCGUAGUUGAAUUUCGGGGUUAGUAGGUUGGUCAUGCCACUGGUAUGUACUGGUCUCACUGAUUCCUCCUUCCUGAUGAACCGUAAUGCCAUUAAUUUGGUGUUGCGGGGAAACUGGACUGUUACUUUGAAAAAAUUAGAGUGUUUAAAGCAGGCUAACGCUUGAAUACAUUAGCAUGGAAUAAUGAAAUAGGACGUUCGAUCCUAUUUUGUUGGUUUCUAGGAUUGACGUAAUGAUUAAUAGGGAUAGUUGGGGGCAUUAGUAUUCAAUUGUCAGAGGUGAAAUUCUUGGAUUUAUUGAAGACUAACUACUGCGAAAGCAUUUGCCAAGGAUGUUUUCAUUAAUCAAGAACGAAAGUUAGGGGAUCGAAGACGAUCGGAUACCGUCGUAGUCUUAACCAUAAACUAUGCCGACUAGGGAUCGGAUGAUGUUAAUUUUUUAAUGACUCAUUCGGCGCCUUACG